CCGCGGUGCUUUCAUUUAUAUUGGUGCUACUUAUUGUCAUUGUCAUUGACUUUUGAGACAAUUAAUUAGUGGCUGGUGUUUCCCUCUUAGGCUAAAGGGAAAUGAAUUAAACACCAGCCCCGCCCCCUCCUCUCCUUACUUCUGACUUUUGAUGGUGCCACGUGGAUCAGAAACAAAAGAGAAAAGUAUUCAAAGCAAGAAGACUGAGUGCAGGCUUAAAGAGUCUAGCUGUGUGUUGUCAGAUGAGGCUGUGUGGUGAGUAGCUCUAUCACAAGUCAGUGGAGGACCAGGAGAGGAGCAUCCUAGAGAGGAAGAGGAAGAUACAGCACGCCAUUAUGGUGUGUGUGAUAGGGCAUGCCUGACAGAGUGUGGUGGUCCGGGGGCUGACAGCUGUAAGGAGUGUGCCCUGGGAUAUGAGGAGGUGGAGGGAUCUUGUACAGAUAUUGAUGAGUGUAGAGAAGAUGACUCCAUCUGUUCUGAUGGUACCUACUGUCUCAACACCCCGGGGAAGCAUCGCUGUCAGGGUGUUAUAUUAUAAUAUUAUAAUACACUCUAAGAAUACACGCAAAGGACAUAAUUAUACAGCAGUGCUUGUGGGAGGGACAAUUGAUGUUCGUGAGUUGUUUGAUUUGAGGGAAGGCUUUUGUUAAUAUUCAUAAUUAGGAGGGGACCAAUUUUAAGUUUAAUUAUAAAUUGCUUCGAUGGUAUAGGGAAUACAUAGGUUGUGCAGUUUCUUUGGUGGAUCUCUCUAUUCCUACGUAUGGAUUGUGCUUGUAAGUAUUAGGUUAUGGGGUACGUGCUUUUUAUUGCGGAAUAUUUUGUUUGACGGGAAGUUGAUUACACUCACUGGAAUAGAUGUAACGUACUCUGUUAUACGAUAGAUGCUUUUUAUUGCCGAGCUUAGACUGGUUGCUUAAAUUUAGCUGUCUCUUGGACUGGUGUUUUUGGGAUCGUGGAUAUAUAUAAAAUGGAAUCUUCAAUUUCUUCCUAAAAAAAAGGCAGGCCAUGUGCUAUAAUAUUGUUAUUAUUGUUAUUAUUAUUUUGAUACUAAUUCCAAUGUGGUCUACACAUCAUUACAUCAUUAACUGUCGUUAACUCACCCACAUUAUCAGUUUGUAAUUCGGUGAUAGACAACAUCAUUUCAAGCUCGUUGUUAAUUUUUGUCUCUAACACUUUGUGUUGUCAUGACUUUAUCCCUGAUGUCACAUUGUCUUCCACUUUAUUUGUUCAUCCUUAUAAUUAGAUAUUUGCGUGCAAUACCUAUAGAGCUAUUUCUAUCCUUCACGUCAACUACUUAUCUUGCUAUAUAAGGCAAACCACAGCAUUCGUUGUACAGUCAUGAUUACUUUCAUCCCACUCGUCAUAAUUAUGACAUUUGUAAUAUCAUUUCAUCUUUCAUACUCUCCUUGGGUGACAUUCUCCGAUGCUAUCGCUCAAUUGAUGUCAGGCCAAGAACUACCGGACCGUAACAUUCAUCUCAAAUUUGCCGCUCCAACUUUCAACUGAUAUGGCAUGCACUCCCCUUGCAACUAUAUUUAAUUGCUAUCUCCUUACGAUGUUGCAAAAGCCUCCUCCAGAUGUAAGACCUCCGCUAUAUCAUUCAGUGCACGUGGGAUAAAUCUCCAUUGCAGCCCUGACCCCUCCCACCUAUGGCCACUAAUACUUCUCAACGCUAUACUGGGACAUUUUAUUAACUUGAUGCUAGUGGAAGUACAUGUACACAACUUACCACCGGACCUCGAUCACUCUCCGAUGUACAGCAGAAGCCUACCGUAUAGGGCAAAAUUUUCGAGGGGCUUAAUUUUCGCUAUCUCCUGAUGUCUCGAUUGUCACUAAAUACUGUGGGAAGUCUCAAAUCUUUGACACCACCAUAAUAUGGAUAUGACGAUCAUUGCGCUGGAUAAACAUAAUGAACAUUAAAUCACCUCCCCGGCCUGAUGAUUGAAGCGAAGACAACUUGAACUCGUGAGCACGGCAACACCUAAUACUGGGUCACCUCCCCUGAUGAUUAAAGCGAAGACAACUUGAACUCGUGAGCACGGCAACACCUACUGGGUCACCUCCCUUGAUGAUUGAAGCGAAGACAACUUGAACUCGUGAGCACGGCAACACCUAAUACUGGGUCACCUCCCCUAGCUGAUGAUUGAAGCAAAGACAACUUGAACUCGUGAGCACGGCAACACCUAAUACUGGGUCACCUCCCCUAGCUGAUGAUUGAAGCGAAGACAGCUUGAACUCGUGAGCACGGCAACACCAAAUACUGUGUCACCUCCCCUAGCUGAUGAUUGAAGCGAAGACAACUUGAACUCGUGAGCACGGCAACAUCUACUAGCUGACUCAGCAUCUUACCAUCUCAAUUGCCAUGCGCAUUAUUAUUCUAAUUAUAGUAUUAUGGGGUCACUACCCAUUUUUUACUAUUUUAAGUUAUAGUAGUGUGGUCUGCCAUUAAAGUAAAAUGAUUUGAUAAUAGUGCUUGUACUGAAAACUACCUCUGAGAUGUGUUAACGGUCUUGUUGUCCUGGUAACCUCUCAGAUGUGUUAUUAAACUGUUUUUGUUGUCCUGGAAACCUCUUAUGAGCGUUGUUAUAUAGCUGCAUGGUCUUAAUUGUACUCUUGUAUCUCUGAGAUGUGUUAACUGGUCUUUUUGUCCUGGAAACCUGAGAUGUCUUGUGACUACUGUGGAUUGAACAUUGUCGUUGAACUGUAGCUGGUUUGAACUUUAUUAUUAUUUCGAGGUCUCCUCAAAAGCCUAGGCAAAAAGAAGGAAAAAAAAGAUUCCCCCAAAAAAAGAUUUUGAUAGUAAUUGCCUGCCCUCCCGUAAUUUUCGUGUUUGUGUUUGUUGCUUGAUUUUUAGUUGUUUGAUGUUUAAUUUUAUAAUGUUGUAGUAUGGGGCUCCCUGACGAGUUUGGAUUUAGUUCUUCUGCUUCAAAAUGGUAAUCUUGCCUUGUACUUUGGGGAGUGGGCCGAUCCUUGAUGGUGUGUGUCGUAGAUUUAUCAGUAGUAAUAGCAUCGCACAUAGCUAGUGGCUUAUUGGUAGUAGUCGUUGUCGGGGUGUUUGUUGCCAUCGAUCCACUAUAAUACGAGUAGUCUCUUAAAGAGUUUAUAGUUUAUGUUGGUGGAAAGCCGUGGACGUAUGCACGGGACUAAACUUACUACCUCUCGUAUUACUCGUAGUAGCUCCCUCUGCAAGAAAAUAAAAUAUUGUGAUAAAUAAUCGUUAACAUGAGUAACAAAAUGUUAUAUAGCGAUGAAUAAUCGAUCAUGUCUGUAAUAAACUUACGUUAGUUUCGAGAAGCCGCUCUACUGUUGUUAUAAUUAUGUCCCUGCCCUCCCGAACCCGCGGCCGUGCCUAAGUCCGUACCUCCUUGAUCUUCUAUGUCCGUGGGAUAUUUGGUAGAUUGUAGCCAAAUUGCAUAGUCUAAGUUUCGGAGUUGAUUUUCAACAAACUUUAUGUUGGGGCUGGGUACAAGGGCGUCUGUAAAUUGAAGAAUCAUAGAUAAAAAGAUCACGGAUAAAAAAAGGCUCGGAAGUUGAUCAGUCCUUAACCACAUACAAUUAAAGGAGUGGGCUGUCAAGCAUAACAAACUUAGCAAAUACGGCUUUACAUGGAUGCCAAUUGCAUGCAGUCGUUACUGACAUCAUAGGUAAUGGUCGUGAUUAUGUUGAAAUUAUGAGCUCCAGAACCACACCCACAUUACCUGUCUUACAAGCAUCCAGAAAUGCCUGGGAGAAAAUACAUUAUUAGUAAACACCCAAUGACAAAAAUUGUAUGUACAUGUUAUAAUACUGUUCAAGAUUCUAUAUAGCCAGGUUUUUUGGUAAUGAUCGUCAAUUUUGUAAUCGAUUAAUGAAAAUAGUUAGCCUUGAGACUGUUGAAAUUAUGAGCUCCAGAACCACACCCACAUUACCCGUUUUACAAGCAUCCAGAAAUGUCUGGGAGAAAAUACAUUAUUAGUAAAAGAUGGAAUGACAAAAAUUGUAUAUAUUCGAGAUUCUAUACAUGUAGCCAGGUUUCCUGGUAAUGAUCGUCAAUUUCAAUUUUGUAAUUAAAAUAGUUAGCCUUGAUACCUAGACAUAAGUUGGCCUGACCACUCUAAGCUUGCUUACAUACAAUGUCUUGAAAUUAACUGGAUUUGUCGUUAUAUCUAGCUAUAGCUACCAUCACGUGACUCUUUGCAGAAAGAAAAAUGGCAAGCGGGAAAUUCAAAAUGUUGUCUACGCAUAUACGCCAGCAGUGCAACGCUUGCAGCCAUGCAAUUAGUUGGCGUAAUGGAAAUGGCAUUAUAAUAUCUGCCAUGAAAGUCAAAACUUACUAUGAACUUCCUUCAAGUGCUUUAUGAAGACUGCAUGGCGGUUCGAAAGGAAUGAUCCUUGGUAUCAAUUGGAUCUUUCCAUGUAAACUUCGUCUGUAUGGAAUGAAAUACAAGCUUUAUCAUAGCGACACUAUUUCGUACGCAUGCACAUGACAUAAAAUAGCUAUAAAUCGACUUAGACUGCGUGCUAAGUUUAAUUUUGCGCUAUACUUACGAUCACGGGAGCUCCUGGCUGUAUAUAACAUCGUGGGCACACCAAUUCCUCAGUACUGCCACUUCUUUUCAUAAUUAUAUUGAAAUACGCUCACAAUCAUUUUGUCGGUGUGCCGCUGUACACAGAAUAAUGUAUGUUUCCAUCCUGGUAUCUGCAAUCAGACAAUCAAUGCAUAGAACUGAAGAAGAAGCUGGCUCUCUGCAAGUCACUCAGAUUUGCAAGUACUUGGACAUUACAGCUUGAGGGUCACCGCGUACAUGUACGUAGUAACGAUCUGAAUGGGGCCAGCAAUCAUCAUGGCCAUAUGCUCACCAUGACAACAAUACGGAAAACGAUCCUCUGCUUACGGGAGGUAACUUGUACAAAGACUAAGAGAAGGAGUGAUCAGCAGCAAUACUCUGAUGUGUGCAGGAAGACUGGAGUGACUGAUCAACAGCUCGAUCAAGAAAUCCCCAACAGUGACAUCUACUGUGUAGCUGAACACAUUGAGGACAUCUACUGUGUAGCUGAACACAUUGAGAUGACACCUGGCCUGCUUGAAAGACUCGAACUCACUACUGCUGAAAAAGCGAUGCUACUCGAAAGAGAAAGUACGAAGGCAAUCAAACAGGAGUGGGUCAUGCAUUGAGAGUGUAGCAAAGAGGAGACACUGCUACACACAUUUGUAGAUUCAUUGCAGAACUGAACAAAACUGAAAUAAUUACUUUAACGUUUUGUUUUAUUGAUGCUGUUUUAUGUGUCUGCUUAUAAUUAUUGUGA